GACGAACCGUGCGAACGUUGUUCGGAAUCACUGGGCUUAAAGGGCGCGUAGGCGGGCCCACAAGUCCGGGGUGAAAUCUUUCGGCUUAACCGGAAAAGUGCCUUGGAUACUGGGGGCCUUGAGGGAGGCAGGGGCGGAUGGAACUUCCGGUGGAGCGGUGAAAUGCGUUGAUAUCGGAAGGAACGCCGGUGGCGAAAGCGAUCCGCUGGACCUCUUCUGACGCUGAGGCGCGAAAGCCAGGGGAGCAAAGCGGG
rnacentral:rRNA from 1 species